rnacentral:tRNA from 1 species
GCGCUCAUAGCUCAGUUGGAUAGAGCGUCAGACUCCGGAUCUGAAGGCCGUGGGUUCAACUCCCGCUGGGCGCA